rnacentral:lncRNA from 1 species
ACUUAAUCAAAUUGACUUCAAUUUUAUCCAAAUCUGUUACUCUAUUGUAGUGCCGUUUCUAUUUGAGAAAAUUAAAUUAAAGUUCUACAACAUCUCUCUUAAUUAUUUUGAACUCGCUAUCUUUUCUUUCUGUGAUUUUAAUAAUUAAAUUUAUGAUGAAUUCAACAAAGAGAGACUGUUGACAGGAGACAUUGAAAUUGGUAUAGGGAGUUGUUGGACAAUGAUGACAAAUCGACAAAGGGGCUUCAAAAUGUGCAGACUAUUCCCGGAGGCUAAGCACAGAUUUUGUGUAAGACAUUUAUUAAAUUUAUUCGGUGUACUAAAAGAUUUUCUCUAGUAGGCAGCCAAGUCCACAACUAUUGUAGACCACAAACAAUGGAGGCAGCAAAUCAGGCAAUUGAGUGAAGAUCUUUCCUUUGAUUGAUGGAACGACCCCCCUCAAGGAAUGGAUCAAGUGAUAUUUUCAGGUGUAUACCAAAUGCAACAUUUUGUUGAACAACGGAUCUGAGGUUUUCAACAAGACACUUCUAGAGGAUCGGGACAAAAUGAUUCCUAAUAUGUUUGACUUUUAUUCAGUUGACCUAUGUGCAAAGAAUACAGUGGAGGCGGGAUAAAAUGAGGAAUCAUGCUGGCUGACUUUAUCCGAAGAUAAGAAAAAGGGUGCAGUAGGUGGUUGAAUGUGUUGUGCACUUAUCUAGUGGUUCCAAAUGGCAAGUGGAGUGUAGUUAUAGAACAUUUGUGAUUGACCUAGAGGAUGGAAGAUGUGCAUGUAAAAAGUGGGAGUUGACUGGCAUUCUAUACCUUCGUGCGAUGGCCGUGAUCCGCAAGUGUCGAAAUGAAAUUGAAGGCUAUGUUGACAACUGUUAUACGAUAGAUUCGUACUUGAACUAUUACAGGAGUAUUUUGAACCCAAUCAACAAGCCAAGGUUGUGGCCAAAGGUGAAUGCGAAGCCAAUUAAUCUACCAAAACGGACAGUGAAUAAGAAAGGGUGAAGACAAACCAAGAGAAAGAAGUAAGCGGAGGAAGUAGUGAUGCAUAUGCAGGACAAGUCUUGUGUUGCGGAAAAAGACCAUGUGAACAUGAUGUGCUCAGUUUGUGGUGUUGUGGACACAACACAGGACAUCAUUCCUCAGCACCCGUUGUGUUGGAUGUGAGUAAACUACAUUUAUUUCUUCUGUAAUUUAAUUUCUUGAUUCGUGUUUUAGGACUUGUUCAAUGCCCCAUUGGAAGAACUGGGAUCUCAACAAAACCAAUGAGUGUAAGUUAGUAGCUCACAAGCACACCUGCAUGUCAAAAAUUUUGCUUCUUUUCUCAUAUUUGUAGUUCAAUGCUGUAGGGAAGUUGUCUGCCAACAGGGAAAAUCGUCCAUCAACUAGUCGGACACCAGCAACAUAUCAUGUACAUGACAUAACUGACUAGCCACAGGCGUGAAAUCUGGACGAAAUGGUAGGCAAUUUUCAGGAUGCAGAAGAUGUUGAAGCUUCACAGUUUAGGGCAGCUAGAGUGUAUUCCUGAUGAUAUGCGAAGAUGUCUACAGCUACGUCUCGCUGAAGCUGAAUGUGCAUGGAUGUAGAUUGGAGACGGUGAAGCAUAACAUUCCUUGAAGCUUGUUUAUUUUGAUAGUAGUGAAUAGGUUAUCUGUGCAACUGGAACUUUGGGUUGCUUUUGGGGUUGGAAAAUCGUAAGCAGGCUUAGAAUUUUUUGGGAUGAGAAAUGGGUUGGAAAGUGGGAUUUUUUUUUUAUUUUUUUAUUUUUAUCGAAAGAAUGUUUUGAGUGAUAUGGAACGAUAUCAUAUUGUUAUAAUGAUCUUAACAGUAAUACUAACGUAUGUUGCCA